AAAGGCAGUGCUUUAAUGCCUUUCUAGUUGCCGUGUUAAUAUUUCUUUCCGCGAUAUCCAACUUAUCUACGUGGGGGGUCAUUUAGCUCCAAGUAGAUCCGGAAAAUGUUGAUUCUCUCCUCUUCUUAUUGUGGUAUAAAAUGUUUUUUGUCUCAUUUCAUUUACAUUGGGAAAUAGAGAAACGAUCAUUGUGUUUUGUUAGUUUUAAAAACUUUUGAUAUAUUUGUAUUUUACAUUAUAAGCAGUCAACCGAUUGACAAACUAGAAUUAUUUGAAUUCCGUGUGGAAAGAGGUCGGGUUAAUUUCGAGUGUUAUCUGCAAUCUAGAUGUUUAUAAAUCAUUUCAGUCAUUGAUAUACUAAUUAAAGGUCGACUGAACAUGAAUUAUAUUAUACAAUUUAAAGCGCAUUUCUGUUUAUGCACGCGAACCCGUCUAACGUUAUUGUUAUUUCGCAGUUAUAUUAAGUAGCAAAUUAUCGUUCCUGAAUAGGUGGCGCCGUGGUAGCCGAUCCUGUACUUCAACUUCCGGUUUCUGCACUGUGCAACUAUUACAGUUGCAUUUUUAAUUAACGAUGCCAAGUACUUGUUGUUGUGUACCUGGAUGUCAUUUAAGAGGAGGACAUGCAUUUCCAAAUGACUUAAAAAGAAGGAAAAGUUGGAUCAACGCCAUGGCCCAUACGCAGAUUGGACGAGAACACGAUGAAAUCGUGGAGUCCAUCUCAAUCAGCUGUUGUUUGCAAGGCACAUUUUACUGAAAAAGACUACGUGCAGGAAACUAUUCAUGGGCACAAACCCACCAUACAGAGACUUAAGUCUACUGCCAAUCCCAGCCUAUUUUCCUGGACCAAGCAAGAGACUGAAUCGUCCGCAAAAAGAAAAAUCAGGGCAGUUUCCUGUGAAAACAAAAGAACUAAACUUGAUCAAUAUUGUAGUAGAAAUCUAGAGGAAAGUUUUGAUUGUAAAGUUGGUUUUCCUGAAGAAGUAAUUCAUACUGCAGACAGGAUUUAUGACUGUCCACCACCAACUGCGAACUAAUGUUGAGCUUCACAGAUGGAAUUACGCAAACACCAUCAAUGCCUAUAUUUUCAGCAGAGAAUUUUGAAAUGAAGACACGUGACACAGCCAUGCAUUUUUAUACCGGUUUAGAGUUGUAUACUAAAUUUUUAUUUGUUUUGACCACACUUGGUCCAACAGCACAUUGUUUGAGAUACAUAUAUUUUCAAAUUGAUAGGGUGUCAUUUGAAAAUCAGUUUUUUUAUGACUUUGAUGAAAUUGAUGCAUUAUACAACCAACUUUGAACUGUCUAGAUUCUAGAUUGAAACUAGUGUUAAGAAUAUUGUGUAAACAUGGAUUGUUUUUAUGUCUAAACAGUGGCGUGAGGCUAACACUUGGCCAUUUAGUGGUUUAGUCAGGUAUUUUUCGCCAUCCAACUUAGAAUUAAAGUUUCCUACAACUUGGAUUAUUAUUGACAGCACAGAAUAUCCCGUGAUAAAACCUAAAGCUCCUAGAGCUCAGGCAACCUUUUCAUCAUAUAAAAACAGAAACACUGAAAAUACUUGUAUGUUCGACACCUGGUGGUUUAGUCAACUAUGUCUCUAAUGCAUAUGUUGGUUGUACCAGUGACUGUGAAAUAGUUGAAAGAUGUAGAAUAGUUCAAUUAUGUGAUCCAGGUGACAGUGUGAUGGCAGACAAAGGUUUAAAUGUGCAAGAUUUGUUUGCUCACUUUUUUCAAAAAAAGAAACAGAAUUAGUUCCAAAAGUCUUAUACGGGAUAGAAAAGUCUCCAAUUAACACGUGCACAUAGAGCUAAUUAUUGGACUUGGCAAAACAUACAAAAUUCUAAUAAAUCCUAUGAAUGGAACUGAAACAAAACUUUCAUCUGAAAUAACAUUUAGUUGUUUUAUGUUGUGUAAUUUUAGAACUUGUAUUGUGUCAAAGGAUGCAUAAAUAAAAGUGACGCAAUGAA